GAUGAACGCUGGCGGCGUGCUUAACACAUGCAAGUCGAACGGUGAAAGAGAGCUUGCUCUCUGGAUCAGUGGCGAACGGGUGAGUAGCACGUGAGCAAUCUGCCCCUGACUCUGGGAUAAGCGCUGGAAACGGCGUCUAAUACCGGAUACGAGCUGCGAAGGCAUCUUCAGCAGCUGGAAAGAACUUCGGUCAGGGAUGAGCUCGCGGCCUAUCAGCUAGUUGGUGAGGUAACGGCUCACCAAGGCGUCGACGGGUAGCCGGCCUGAGAGGGUGACCGGCCACACUGGGACUGAGACACGGCCCAGACUCCUACGGGAGGCAGCAGUGGGGAAUAUUGCACAAUGGGCGAAAGCCUGAUGCAGCAACGCCGCGUGAGGGACGACGGCCUUCGGGUUGUAAACCUCUUUUAGCAGGGAAGAAGCGAAAGUGACGGUACCUGCAGAAAAAGCGCCGGCUAACUACGUG
rnacentral:rRNA from 1 species